rnacentral:rRNA from 1 species
UACGUAGGGUGCGAGCGUUGUCCGGAAUUAUUGGGCGUAAAGGGCUCGUAGGCGGUUUGUCACGUCGGGAGUGAAAACUCAGGGCUUAACCCUGAGCCUGCUUCCGAUACGGGCAGACUAGAGGUAUGCAGGGGGAGAACGGAAUUCCUGGUGUAGCGGUGAAAUGCGCAGAUAUCAGGAGGAACACCAGUGGCGAAGGCGGCCCGCUGGGCAGUGGCUGACGCUGAGGCGCGACAGCGUGGGGAGCAAACAGG